UUAAAACUUAGUAACAGAAAAUAAAUGCGGAAGUUUCGAAAUACAUCUCUACCAAGAGUCUGGUGUCACUAACUCACGAACUACUAUAGAGUACUAAAAAUAAAAGUCUGAAUGAAAUACAUCAGUGUUUGUCUCGAUACAAAAAAAACUAAUAACAGAGAAAGGGACUCCGGUCUGCAGAUGUCAGCUAGCUACCUCGCAAGCCCCUAUACUGAAGACAGCUCUCAAUCAAUACUGCUGCUUUAGUCCAAAAGUUGCUCCUGGAUCUGCGCAAAAAGAUGCACAGAGUGUAGCAUCAGCACAACCGACUCCAUGUGCCGGUAAGUGUCUGCCUAACCCUAGCGAAGUAGUGACGAGGCUAGACAGGACUUACUGAGAACAACCUGUGCAGAUAUAUAUGCAAUAGCGGGAAAAAUAUACAGAAUUUAAACAGCUAAGAGGGAGGGGAGCAUGCUAUGGGGUGUAAUAAUUCAGAUAUAGAAUCAACGAGCAAAGAAAUGGAAUUGUACAUUAACAUCAACUAAAGAGAACAGGUAAAUCAACAACCGCACGACACCAACCUUCGUGCUUUUACUCUCAUCCUCACCAAAACAGUCAAUCAAGUGCACAACAUUACUCGUCGUGCUUUUCCUCACAUAACUCUCAUAUCAAGGCACAGAAUGACCGUUCGUGCAUAAUUAUUCAAAACAUGACAUGGAAUGACCCUUCGUCCAUAAAUAUUUGAAACAAGGAACAGAAUGACCCUUCGUGCAUAAAUAUCAAAACAUGGCACGGAAUGACCCUUCGUGCAUACUCACUCUUACUCACCCAAUCAACAGUCACAACCAAUCGGGAUUAGGGGAUAUACGACAAUAUAAAACAUCCUAGCAAGGGAGAAAAAACAACAAAUAAGUCUCGACUAAGGAAUAAUUACAACACUUUCUCUUUUGGUCACUUCUUUCUCAAUCACCAUAUUCACGUUCGAGCCAACGCUCCAAUAGUGCACAAAUCAUAAUUCUGCCUAAAAAUCUUCACAUUAUAUGAAACUUAUCAAUUUAACAAGUAAGAAGUAUCACAAAAUUCGAAUAAACACAAUUAAGACUCACGGUCAUGCUAGAUUCCGGUAUAUAGAUAUUCGUCACCUUGCCUAUACACCAUUCAAUUAAUCUCAUAGAUAUCUUUGGAUUAAUGUAAGAUUUGGGCAAUCUCAAUUUUUUCAGCGUCGGUCAACACAUUUCACCGCCUAGAAUGCCAAAAUUUUAGUUGCUUCUGCUCUUAUUCCGAUUUGAGAACGGUAUUGCGACAUAUACCACUGCGGCAUUUUAAAGUGUAUGCCAGUGCUUUUGUUACAAUACCACCCACUGCCCAGAAUUAAUUCUCUCUGGAAGCAAUAGUUUCAAAUGAUAUUUGGAAGUUUUAGUUCAUCGUUUGAUAGAGGGUGAUGCUAGACUCAAUUCGAAUAAACACAAUUAAGACUCACGGUCAUGCUAGACUCCGGUAUAUAGAUACUCGUCACCUUGCCUAUACACCGUACUCAACAAUUAGCAAAUAGCAAACAACACCCUAAUCCUAUUCCCUCAAGCCAAAUUUAGAACAAACACUUACCUCAACUUUCACGGCUAAAUCAAUAGGGCUAAACAAAGCAACAAUCCUUGGACCGCAAUACCGAAAUUACAACCGAAACCACGAAUCGAUACCGAAAAGCUCGAAACCCAAAUCACCCUCAAUCAAACGAUGAACUAAAACUUCCAAAUAUCAUUUGAAACUAUUGCUUCCAGAGAGAAUUAAUUCUGGGCAGUGGGUGGUAUUGUAACAAAAGCACUGGCAUACACUUUAAAAUGCCGCAGUGGUAUAUGUCGCAAUACCGUUCUCAAAUCGGAAUAAGAGCAGAAGCAACUAAAAUUUUGGCAUUCUAGGCGGUGAAAUGUGUUGACCGACGCUGAAAAAAUUGAGAUUGCCCAAAUCUUACAUUAAUCCAAAGAUAUCUAUGAGAUUAAUUGAAUGGUGUAAAUUUUGUGACCAUUAAAGUGUGGAUGGGCGGUAAUUUCAAAAAGGACAAGAAGGUUAAAGUCUUUCUUUUAGUGACUGAUUUGAUAAUUUUUAAGAGCAGUUGAUAGAAAACGGACCAUGGAUUUUUGUAGAGGAUGAAGAAACAAAGCUAUGGUGACCAAUCAGAAAACGACUACUAGCUUGGAGUAAUGGCUGCUCUCUUUUGUGUAGUCUAUGUCGAGGAAUUGAAAAACUUUCAUUAAGUUGAAA
rnacentral:lncRNA from 1 species